rnacentral:rRNA from 1 species
ACAUCCAGAGAACUUAGCAGAGAUGCUUUGGUGCCUUCGGGAACUCUGAGACAGGUGCUGCAUGGCUGUCGUCAGCUCGUGUUGUGAAAUGUUGGGUUAAGUCCCGNAACCGAGCGCAACCCUUUAUCCUUUGUUGCCAGCGAUUCGGUCGGGAACUCAAAGGAGACUGCCGGUGAUAAACCGGAGGAAGGUGGGGAUGACGUCAAGUCAUCAUGGCCCUUACGGCCAGGGCUACACACGUGCUACAAUGGCGCAUACAAAGAGAAGCGACCUCGCGAGAGCAAGCGGACCUCAUAAAGUGCGUCGUAGUCCGGAUUGGAGUCUGCAACUCGACUCCAUGAAGUCGGAAUCGCUAGUAAUCGUAGAUCAGAAUGCUACGGUGAAUACGUUCCCGGGCCUUGUACACACCGCCCGUCACACCAUGGGAGUGGGUUGCAAAAGAAGUAGGUAGCUUAACCUUCGGGAGGGCGCUUACCACUUUGUGAUUCAUGACUGGGGUGAAGUCGUAACAAGGUAAGCGUACGUGU